rnacentral:rRNA from 1 species
UGAGGAACCUGCCCCGAAGACCGGGAUAACCCUCCGAAAGGAGAGCUAAUACCGGAUACCUCCACAGCGUCGCAUGGCGCAGUGAAGAAAUGGAUUCCGCUUCGGGAGGGCCUCGCGGCCUAUCAGCUAGUUGGUGUGGGUAAUGGCCCACCAAGGCGACGACGGGUAGCCGGCCUGAGAGGGUGACCGGCCACACUGGGACUGAGACACGGCCCAGACUCCUACGGGAGGCAGCAG